UCGGGAAUUUUGGGCAAUGGGCGCAAGCCUGAUCCAGCCAUACCGCGUGAGUGAAGAAGGCCUUCGGGUUGUAAAGCUCUUUCAGCCGGAAAGAAAUCGCACUGGUUAACACCUUGUGUGGAUGACGGUACCGGAAGAAGAAGCACCGGCUAACUACGUGCCAGCAGCCGCGGUAAUACGUAGGGUGCGAGCGUUAAUCGGAAUUACUGGGCGUAAAGCGUGCGCAGGCGGUUUUGUAAGACAGGCGUGAAAUCCCCGGGCUUAACCUGGGAACUGCGUUUGUGACUGCAAGACUAGAGUGUAGCAGAGGGGGGUAGAAUUCCACGUGUAGCAGUGAAAUGCGUAGAUAUGUGGAGGAAUACCGAUGGCGAAGGCAGCCCCCUGGACUAACACUGACGCUCAUGCACGAAAGCGUGGGGAGCAAACAGGAUUAGAUACCCCCGUAGUCCCUGAGCGGGCUGGCAAGGCGCAU
rnacentral:rRNA from 1 species